rnacentral:ncRNA from 1 species
UUAACAACUUUGAUGAGAUAAGUAGCCAAAGCAUUUGCUAUAAAGAGAGCCCUGGUUGGUGUGAAUGGGUAUUGCAAACUUUGGUGAAUAAAGACUUGGAGUUUUGUCGGGGAUAUUUGAUCUGGCGACGGGGCUUGCCCGUUAUAGCAAGAGAGUAUGAUUGUACUUAUUGAGAUGUAUAUCGCAAGGUAUACUAAAAUUAAGGUGGUAACGCGAAUUUCGCCCUUAUU